rnacentral:rRNA from 1 species
CGGUUGAUCCUGCCGGACCCUACUGCUAUCGGGGUGGGACUAAAACAUGCAAGUCGAGCGUCUCCCAACAUGUUGUGGAGGCGCGGCGUACGGCUCAGUAACACGUGGCCAACCUGCCCUUAGGACGGGAAUACCCCCAGGAAACCACGCACAGACCUUGACCACGUAAACACAAAUUCUCCAAAUCCAAAAAUCCCAUAACACAAAAAACACUUCACUACACCGCCUUGCCGAUUUCUAAGCUGGCAAAGGCCUAUCUCAAACUAACCAAAAACUACACGCAACUUUCUAAGAAUAGAAACUUAAGGCUCUGGCGUAGCCCAAAACUGGGGUUAAUUCCCGAUAGGCGAAGAAGCCUGGAAUGGUUCUUCGCCGAAAAGACGUUAGAGGCAUGCUCUCUAACGUCGCCUAAGGAUGGGGCCGCGGCCGAUCAGGCUGUUGGUGAGGUAACGGCUCACCAAGCCUAUAACCGGUACGGGCCGUGAGAGCGGGAGCCCGGAGAUGGGCACUGAGAUAAGGGCCCAGGCCCUACGGGGCGCAGCAGUUGCGAAAACUCGCCAAUGCACGAAAGUGUGAGCGGGCUACCCCGAGUGCCGUCCGCUGAGGACGGCUUUUCUCUGCUGUAAGGAAGCAGAGGAAUAAGGAGAGGGCAAGACUGGUGUCAGCCGCCGCGGUAAUACCAGCUCUCCGAGUGGUAGGGAGAUUAUUGGGCAUAAAGCGUCCGUAGCCGGCUUGACAAGUCCCCCGUUAAAUCCAGCUAACCAAUAGCUGGGCUGCGGGGGAUACUGUCAGGCUAGGGGGCGGGAGAGGCCGACGGUAUUCUCGGGGUAGGGGUGAAAUCCUAUAAUCCCGAGAGGACCACCAGUGGCGAAGGCUGUCGGCUUGCCCGCGCCCGACGGUGAGGGACGAAAGCUGGGGGAGCGAACCGGAUUAGAUACCCGGGUAGUCCCAGCUGUAAACGAUGCGGGCUAGGUGUCGGGGUGGCUACGAGCCACUCCGGUGCCGCAGCGAAUGCGUUAAGCCCGCCGCCUGGGAAGUACGGCCGCAAGGCUGAAACUUAAAGGAAUUGGCGGGGGAGCAC